GACGAACGCUGGCGGCGUGCCUAAUACAUGCAAGUCGAACGCAGUGGGGACGGGUGGGGAACACGUGGGUAACCUCCCAUCAGAGGGGAUAACACUUGGAAACAGGUGCUAAACCGAUACUGAUGGAUGAACAGGCGGGGGAUUAGCUAGUUGGUGAGGUAACGGCUCACCAAGGCCACGAUGCAUAGGCGACCGGUGAGGGUGUGCGGCCACACUGGGACUUAGACACUGCCCAGACUCCUACGGGAGGCAGUAGUAGGGAAUCUUCGGCAAUGGACGAAAGUCUGACCGAGCAACGCCGCGUGAGUGAAGAAGGUUUUCGGAUCGUAAAACUCUGUUGUUAGAGAAGCGGUAUCUAACCAGAAAGCCACGGCUAACUACGUGCCAGCAGCCGCGGUAAUUC
rnacentral:rRNA from 1 species